UACGUAGGUGGCAAGCGUUGUCCGGAUUUACUGGGCGUAAAGAGCGCGCAGGCGGCCGAGUAAGUCGAAUGUGAAAGCCCCCGGCUCAACUGGGGAAGGUCAUUCGAUACUGUUCGGCUCGAAGAUAGGAGAGGGAAGCGGAAUUUCAGGUGUAGUGGUGAAAUGCGUAGAUAUCUGAAGGAACACCAGUGGCGAAGGCGGCUUUCUGGCCUAUUCUUGACGCUGAGGCACGAAAGCUAGGGGAGCAAACAGG
rnacentral:rRNA from 1 species